CAUACUUGAUCCAACAUCUUCUUGAGAUCCUCCUUGGUUUUCCUUCCCUUAAACGUGCUCUUGAACUUAGGCUUAUCAUCCUUGAACUUGUCUCCAUUGUCGUCCUUCUUCGCUCUUCCUAGCUUGCGACAAUGAGAUCGGAUGUGAUCUAGCCCUCCGCAUACAAAGCAAUGAACCUGACAUUAUUCAUAGCUCGAGACAACUUGUUAAUAAGCGCAGCCAAGUCCUCCUCCUUGAGUUGCUCGAGUUGAUCAUCGGACAUGGCGUUAAAAGCAGAAAAAACAUUAAGUGCCGAUGAAGAAGAGCCAUUAUCGAUAGAAGAUACAUGAGAUCCCAAAGCUUU
rnacentral:lncRNA from 1 species